rnacentral:rRNA from 1 species
GACAGAGGAGCCAAGCGUUGUCCGGAUUGACUGGGCGUAAAGCGCACGCAGGUGGUCGCGCACGUGCCGUGUGAAAGCCGGCGGCUUAACUGCCGGAGGCCAUGGCAGACUGCGCAACUCGAGGCCGAGAGAGGUCCGUGGAAUUGCCGGUGUAGUGGUGAAAUGCGUAGAGAUCGGCAGGAACACCCAAAGCGAAAGCAGCGGACUGGCUCGGUACUGACACUGAGGUGCGAAAGCGUGGGGAGCGAACUGG